ensembl:lncRNA
UGGGGUUAAGGGUGGGACUGGUUAGCAGUGAGGGCGUCUCCGACUGUGUCACACACACGCAUGGAGGAGCCAGGUCACCACCAUUUGCGAGGCUCCCGUCUGAGGGUGUGCCGUGUACAGAUGUUUGGGUGGCUCUUGGAAUGUGAGGUCUGUGGUGAAGGGCACUGAGGAGCAUAGAGGCAUCCAUCUUGUCCAGUGGUGGCAGGAGUCACAGUAGAUCCUUGCCUCGGACAAUUGAGCUUUUGGCUUAAAAAUGUUCAUGUCUUCUUGGUUACUGCUGCAAGUGUGCUUGUUGGAUCAGUGGUGAUGUGGAAUCUGAAACAAGGAUGCUUCUGUGGCUUCUGAUUGGCGCCCCAGGUCAGAUCUGAGGCCCUUGCCAUUGCAGCCCUUUGUGUUGUUGAAAUUCCUGAGUGCCCUGUGGGCUGCAAAUGUUGCAGAGACCUAGGGGAAAGGUGACAGUCGUGAAAGUUAAUAGGCCUCAUUUCUGCCCUUGGCAGUUCCUGAAUUGUAACUGCUAUCACAGUGCUUGAGUCUAGGAGGCUUGGUAAUAGUGACCUUUGUGGCCUUGGUGGUCUGAUGCCAGAAGAAGAACUCUUCAUUUGUAUCUUUGGUACCUUGAAAAGCAGCCCGUGGGUGGUAAUGUGGUGUGCGUACAUCGCCUUGGCCCCCAUUUGGCCCCUCAGCCUGGAAUUUGCAAGGUGUGUGAUUUCUCAAAAUUUGGGGCCAGGUAUUCGGCCCUGAUCCACCCAGGUGUUCACCGCUCCCCCCAGCAGUGAAUUAGCAACUUUGAAGGCCCAUGUUUGUGGUAGAGAUUGGUCAUUGGUUGGUAUACCAAGCCUGCCUCAGUGUAGGCACCAGCAGCUCCUCUGGCACUAUGGCGGGAGACCUGGCACAUCCAAAGUCUUCUGCUGGCAGGUCUUCUGAUGUCUUCCUGGAAGCCACCUUAGUGAUCUGUGAGCACUUGGUGGUCUUGCAUGGCAGAUACAAGGUGUAGGGUGGAAUGACGUGAUGUCACCAUAGUCAAAGCCCACCUUUUUCCUGUUGUUGGGUGCUGGUUGACUGUGUGAAUAGAGCCCCUGGAGGCUUCCAAUGUGGGUGAGUUUCUAUUUGGGGCAGGAGUGUUCAAUUUGGACCAAGCUCUGCUUUAUGGGAGUUUUUCCCAUAGGAUGUGGUCAGUAUCCAGGAGCCUGUACUGUGGGGAUCUUAACCUAUUCUGGCUGGGCAAGGGGCCCUGUUUCUCUGGGAGUGACGCCUAGAUGUUGGUACCUGAGGACGAGCGCCUCUUGUCUUUCACUUACCAUUGGGUCCCUGGAGAGUGAUUGGACUCACUGGGUAGGAAGAGGCUCAUGCCUUGAAUUCUUUUCCUCUUCAAGGGUAUUGUGGGUCAUCAGCCCCAGGGCCAAGUUCACCAUACAUUUGUCAUUCUAAUGGAAAAUUUCCUUGCUCUAAGUAGAGCUGGGACUAGUGGGCAAGGACACCUGAGCUGAAAUAGUUCCUGGUGUAGUCUCAAGCUCUGUGGCAUUCACAGAGUUGCUGUGCAGCACGACCUUGCUUGGUCCGAUUCCUAUGCUUUGGUCAAAGGGAAUGGUCAUGGAGAUAGGGGGCCCAGAGCCGAUGUCAACAGCCCCUCUGUGAAAUUUUGCAUGAGGCUUGUGGAAGGUGCCAAGCAUCUACUCCAUUUUGUGGGAGGGUAGGAGGUCCACACUCUGUAUAGACGGCAUGCCUGUUCAGACACCGAGGCCUUUGCGUGGGUCUCUGAGACAUGGAGAUAGCUGGAAGGAGUUCAAGGCCCAUCCAAAUCCUAAGAGUGCAUCCUUGUUGGUACGCCGGAACAGAUGCACUCAACCCCACAUCGCAUGCCCUGCCAUCCAUGCACGCUGUCAGACAGACACCCACUCGCUCUUGAACCUACUUUGCUGCACUCAUGCUCACUUAUUUAUCCAGUCCUAGGUAGGGAAUCAAUACAUUUGGCUAAGCAGAUAAAGGCCUUCCCCCAGGGAACGAUGGGCAUCAGCAUUGUUCAGUGAGAACUUGGGUACACAUCUGAAGUGUUCCUUUGCUUUCUCUCCACUUGUCAGGAGAAGUUCUCGGGUAUGACUGUCUGUCAUCCAGGGCAAGAAGCCAUGCACAUGAGACAGUACCUCGAGAUGCAGGGGAGUCUGGCGAGAAGUUCACAGGCCCAGGUUCCUGCCACUGCUUUUUGGAUCACUGAGGAUGGCACCUUCUCUUACCACAAGAUGUUUCAUGGAUGUAGGGUUUCCUGGGACUGCCUGAGUAGUUGUAUGUAUGGAGGGACCAUUCUGCAGAGAAGUCUUAGACCUCUGAAUUCCCCUGGCUCCUGAAGGACUCCUAGGUCACUGGCUCCUCCUGAGAUUAGUUCUACCUGCCCUCCUGAGGUGGGCAGCAAGCCAGCGUGUGCUCGUAUCUAUGACACUCUCAUAUGCGUUCCUUGGGAACAUCUGAACAAAAUGAGUCAGAAUUCACUACUAUUUCCUCACCGACAGUGAAUUCCAACACAUUGCCUCUCCUGGAGCUAAGUGUGCACUAAUUAGCAGUAAGGGCUGCUUUUACUGUGUCACAUACAUGCAUAGAGCAGGAGGAUCACCAGGAUCACCACUGUUUGCAAGGCUCCCUUCUGAGUGUGGGCUGUGUAAGAUGUUCAUGCGGUUUUCCUGAAGUGCAAGGUCUGAGGUCAAUACCACUGAAGUUCACAGGAGAUGUCUAGCCUGACCAGUGAUGCUAGGAGUCAGAGUAGAUCCUGGCCUAGGUCUGUUGAGCUCUUGGCUUGAAAAUGUGCAUUUUGUCCCAGUUCCUGCUGCAAGUGCGCUAGUUGGAGGUGUGUUGAUGUGGAAGCCAAAGUGAGGAAGAUUCUGUAGUUUCUUAUUGGAGCCUCAGGUCAGAUCUGAGGUCCUAGCUGUUGAGGCCCUUUGGGUUGGUGAGGUUUCUUGAGUGCCCUGUGGGCUGUAGCGUUUGCAGGAACCUAGUCAAAUGGUGGCAGGGGUGAAAGGCAAUAGGCCUCGUUUCUGCCCUUGGCAGUUCCUAUGUUGCAUCUUCUGUCACAUGCUUGUGUCUUAGAGGCUGCCGUGGACUGUGCAGUGGUCCCAGCCUUGCAUUCCUCCUGCAGGUUGGCCAGAGGCCUAGAGCAGAAUGGUUGUGCAGGUGAGAAAAAGUACAGGAUGAUUUCCUGGGACUAUCUGUCCGCUGAGGCUGCAGGCACUGUCUUUGUGUUUUCAGUGUUCCAUACUGUGGUCCUUUUGGAGCUGCCCUUGGCUGGGUACAGAAGAGAGGGCAUUUUGGUGCCUGGCAGGCUCGGUGAUAGGUGACCUUUUUGGCCUUGGUGGCCCACUGCCAGAAGGACUCACAAAGCAUAUCUUUGGUGCCUUGAAGAAUUCCACUUAGCGAGGCCUCACAACCAGCUAGUGUGGGCAGAAAUGAGAUCUUUGCACAUAUCUGUUUUUCCUUUGGGCCUGGUAUUUGCCAGGUGUAUGAGUUCCUAAAGAUGGGAGCAGGUGGACCGCCCAGAUGGCACCCAGUUGUUUGCCACCCUGGCAGAGAAGUAUCAACCUUGGAGUCCUGUGGUUUUUAGAGAUUCGUCUUUGGUUGGCAUACCAAGGCUUCCUCCAUGAUGUAGCAAGUGAAUCCCCUGGCACUCUUGUGGGAAACUUCACACAACAAAGGUCUUUCCCUGGAAGUUCUUCUCAAGUCUUCCUGGAAGCAGGCUUGGUGUUCUGUGAACACUUGAUGGUUUUGUGUAGCAGAGAAGGGAUGCUGGGCAGAAUGGCGUGAUGUCACCAUAAUCAAAGACUGCCUUCUUCCUGUUGGUCUUCUGAGUACUAAAUGUCCCUUUGUGAGCAGAAGACCUGGUGGCUUCUGAUGUGGGUGAGUCACACUGGGGGUGGAUGGAGGAGUUCAAUUUGUAGGAGUUUUUCCUGGGUAUGGUUGGUUCCCAGGGCCCUGCAGGCUGUGGAUCUGAGCAUUAUCUGGCCGGCAAAGGGGCCCAGUUUCUGUGGGAGUGACCCCUGGAUCCUGGUACCUGAGGAAGACCAGGUCCCAUCUUGCACUUUCCAGUGGAGCCUCGGAGAGUGAUUAGACUCACUGGGCAGGGAGAGGCUCAUGCCCUGAAUUAUUUUGCCCUUUUAAGGAAUGGUGGGCCAUAUCUGCCCCUGGGUCAUGUUCCCAAUACUUUUGACCUUCUUUGGGAAAGUUUCCUUGAUCCAGGAGGAGGUGGGUCUUGUCACCAUGGACACCUGAGCUGUAGUUUUAGCUGACAUGUCUCAUGGUACAUGGCAUUCACACAGUUGCUCUGCCAGGCGACCUUGGGCAGUCAGGUUUAUGUUCAUAGUGAGAGGGCAUGGGUCGAAGAGAUCAUGAGCCCAUGCCCUAUUUCAACAGCCCCUCAGGAUGAAAUUUUGCAUGGAGCUUGUGGACAGUGGCAGGCAUCAUCUGCCAUUUUGUUGGACAGCAGAAAGUCAGGUUUCUGUGGUGAAGGCACACGUGUUAAGACACCAAGGCCUUUGGAGUGGGACUCUGAGUCCUGGAGACACCUGGAAGGAGUUUCAGAGGCACACCCAGAGUCUUGAGGCACAUUCUUCUUGGUACACUGGAACACACACACACAGACCCAUAUCAAAUCCCCUGCCACACACACAUACUCAGACAGACAGACACCGAUAGGAACUUUAAGAUAAUUUCCUACCUUUUUUGCUAUAGGUACGUAUCCAGUCAUACAUGAGGGAUCGAGGUAGUUCAGAAGCAGAUGCAGGCUUUACCUCAGGGAACCAUGGACACCGAUAUUAUUCAUUGAGAACCCGGGUGCACAUUUGAAGCAUGCUUGUGCUUUCCUUUGACUUGUCAGGAGAAGUUGCCAGGUAUGACUGUAGCUUACAAGAAUCCCUGCCUGUGAUUCAGUGAAUGGAGGUGCAAGAGAGUCCUGCAAGAAGUGUGGCAGAAACAGCUUGCAGUUUCUGCUUUUUGGAUCACUAAGGAUGGUACGCCUUCCUCUGCCCCAAGAUGUGUCAUGAAUUUAGGGCUUCCUGGGAUUGCCUGAGUACGUAUAAGUGCAAAUGGACUUUUCCUCUUGCCAAGAAGCCUGGGGGCUCUGAAUUCUCCUAGCUCCUGGAGGACUCCCAGGUCAUUGGCUCCUUCUUGGAGCAGCCCUGCCUGCCCUGCUGAGGUGUGCAGUGAAGCAGCACAUACUCGGAUCAAUGAUGACAACUUUCAUAUGCAUUCCUUGGAAAAUCUGAACAAAAUGAGUGAGAACUCACUACCAUCUCCUCAUCAAUACUGAGCUCUAGCAUGUUGCCUCCCAUGAAGCUAGGGUUGGGGCUAGUUAUCAAUUAGGGCCAGCUUAGACUUGGUCACACACAUGCAUAC